rnacentral:lncRNA from 1 species
AAUCGGUAUUUAUCCAUAUUUAUCUUUUCUGCAUUCCUUUUCCUUUAUUCCAACACUUGCAUUAGCAUAUUUACUUUUCCACAUUAGCAUUAGAAAAGAAAACAAAAAUAUUUGUUCGUUGCAUUGCAUCAUAAAAUCUAAAGCCCCAUGUGAGUAGACUUGUGGUUUAAAACCCAUAGGUAUAUUGACUGUGGUGGCAUAAAAUAAAUAUGUUUUCAUCUUACAAUAAAAAUAUAAAAAUAAUAAGUGCACGAUCCUGCUAAAUAAAUAAAAUUUAUUAGGAGGAAUCUCAAUAUGAUAAAGGCUAAGAGACUUUAUGCUUACACUUAACCAGUUCCACAAAGCUUUGUUGUCUAUUUGAGGUCCAUAGAAUUAAAGGAUCAAAGAAGACUAGCCGGCAGAGGACAUAGUAAUCGCUGUCAGGGUGCUGCGGACAUUCAAAUACACCUCUGUCACCUGCUUGCUACAUCAGAAGAAAUUACGUUAAAAUCCAGCUUGGGGGAGAGCACCCCCAUUUAUCCAGCUAAGUGUUUCUACUCGCGUUUAUACUUUACUCAAAUAAUAAAAAGAUGCAUAAUCAUGAAAACCCAAAUAAAAAUUUUUGUGAAUAAAUAAAUAAAUAGUUGCUAAAUAAAUAAAUAAAGUGUCUAGGCCAAACUGAACUUAAAUGAUAAACUCUUACAUGGAUAUGAUAAAUAGUUGCUCUGCCAUGUACCUAGUUUUCAAGUUUGAGCUCUCUCUCAAGUUUAGGCAUAACUGUUGUAAUUUAAACUUGCUCUAAACCUGAACUUGUGCGAAGAGUACUUGAUCUAAAGUCUAAGUCGUUAACGUAUAUGAUAUGAAAAGGUUGAGCUGCUGUUUAUCUGUUCCUAGAGUUGCUAGAAUUCUGGAGAACAUUAUCUUUGAAAAUCUUUAAAAUAUUGCAUGAUGAGUUCCUGUAUGAUGAGAGUUUAAAAUCCUACCACAGCCAUAUAUACAUGCUUAUUAGACUAUGAACCAUAUAUUUACUUUUUACUGCUUAUGAGCAUUGAGUGUGGUCAAGUUGUGUAGACCUUUAGGAGUUUGUCAUGCGGUUAAAAUCAAGAUCCACUUGCACAUUCACUCAUACAUGCUACUUCUACUCCGGAAGUACGCAUCCACAUACAUCCACUCAAUUCCAUCUCCACAUUCACCUAAAAUUAUUCUACUCCUAUCCGGGAGAGAAUAGCCAAAAACGUUUUUCCUAUCCCUGUUAUCCCCUGUGAAAUAAAUGCUCGAGAUAUUUUGGUUACUACCACUUGCUACAUUAUUCUAGGAGGGUGAGUGCUCUGAAAAAAAAUAAAAGGAAAAAUACAAGGAAAUAAAAAGGGGCAAGUGCCCGGAACCUCGAAGAAAAGAAAAAGUGAGACGAGAGGUAAAAAUGGACAAGUGUCCGAUAGUAGAAUUAGGAGUACAAGAUACCCACCUGAGAGAAAAGAAAAAAAAUAUAGAGAGCAUCUCAUUCUCCUAAAAAAAGCUUCAAAGUGUAAGAAAGGUAUGUAUCUCCUAAAAAGAGCAAAAGUAGAAUUAGACUUUCACCAUUGUUAUCACCAUCAUCACCAUACACCAUUCACUCGCCACACAUGCACAUCUUGAUUUGACUUAUUGACUUGUUCUUCUAGAUCCAUGGUUUGACUAUGCAAUAAAUGUCUUGUAAGUAUGUAUGCUUUAUCUCCCACCUAUGAGCUCCAGAUAUCAAAACCUUAUUAGAGUAGGGUGAGAGAGAAGGCAAUAUCACUAUGCCUUGUACCAAAAAAUACCACAUACUUUGAGAGAAGGCAUAUACCAUUACUGCCUUGGAAAGGAUCCAGAAAUACCACAAAAGAGAGAGUUGAGAGAGUCAUACAAGGAAUCUCUAAGUUUUAUUUGAAAAUCUGCAAAAACUCCAGAGCUAUAGCUGAUCAAAGAACAAGAGACAUGGCGCUUGACUAGACUGUUCUAUCUUUUAACUGCUCAAGACACAAGUGACGAUUGCAAGCCCCAUGGUGAAAGGUAAAAUGAGUAAGUUUUAAGUCUUAACAGUUUACUCUAACUCAGAGAUGAGAUCUUGCUUGAACGCAUGUGUACUUUUAAGGCAUGAAACCACUGCAGAAACUCUUGAGUCCAUCCUUGCUCAGGGACGAGCAAGAAGUAAGCUUGGGGGAGUUGUUGAUGGUCCUUAAGUACCAAAUAUAAUCAUCAAAUAAAUAAAGAAAAGGAUCCAAAUGCAACCAACACCCAGACUUAGGGUUUUAUCUGGCAGAAUUCCAUGAGUUCUGGUGUUUGUCUAUUUCUGCAGGGGAUUAUCAGGAAAUAUGGAGGAAAGGCCCACACGUCGGGUUUACAUAGAGAUAUUAACGUGUGCACCAAUUUUCUAUCAUCUAGAAGAGUCCAGAAGCCAUGGGAACGAACGGGAGGCCG